rnacentral:rRNA from 1 species
AUUGAACGCUGGCGGCAGGCUUAACACAUGCAAGUCGAGCGGAGCGAGGGUGCUUGCACCUUAGCUUAGCGGCGGACGGGUGAGUAAUGCUUAGGAAUCUGCCUAUUAGUGGGGGACAACAUUCCGAAAGGAAUGCUAAUACCGCAUACGCCCUACGGGGGAAAGCAGGGGAUCUUCGGACCUUGCGCUAAUAGAUGAGCCUAAGUCGGAUUAGCUAGUUGGUGGGGUAAAGGCCUACCAAGGCGACGAUCUGUAGCGGGUCUGAGAGGAUGAUGCGCCACACUGGGACUGAGACACGGCCCAGACUCCUACGGGAGGCAGCAGUGGGGAAUAUUGGACAAUGGGCGGAAGCCUGAUCCAGCCAUGCCGCGUGUGCGAAGAAGGCCUUUUGGUUGUAAAGCACUUUAAGCGAGGAGGAGGCUACUGAGAUUAAUACUCUGGGAUAGUGGACGUUACUCGCAGAAUAAGCACUGGCUAACUCUGUGCCAGCAGCCGCCGUAA